rnacentral:lncRNA from 1 species
GUAUACAGCUGAAAUGUAAGGGUACAUCUUCACUGAACGUGACCGACUUCGGAGCUAUUUUUGCUGUCAAGAUUUGCUCUGAUGGGAUAUAGGUAUAACUAUCUCUCCGACCUGAGACCGCCACAGUGACUUGCAAGCAACUCACUGCACUUAGGCACUGGACUACCUGAAUUUCUAAUUCAGUGACGGAAGGAUACUGGGUGUAGUCAAGUACUUGACUUGUCGGUGCGUGUGUCAAGAUGGGAUUGAUCACUUCAGUUCAGGAGUUGUGUACAGUCGUGUUUCAAUUUAGCAAAACCUUGGCCAGGGUAGUCCUAGUGAGGAGUCACAGGAUUGUUUGAGUUAAGCACGAUUCGGAUGAUCUAAUCAGGGUUGACAGUUUAACCCUG